GCACUCGUAGCUCAGGGGAUAGAGCAGUGGUUUCCGGUGCCAUGUGUCGGGGGUUCGAAUCCUCUCGGGUGCA
rnacentral:tRNA from 1 species